rnacentral:rRNA from 1 species
AUUGAACGCUGGCGGCAGGCCUAACACAUGCAAGUCGAACGGUAACAGGAAGCAGCUUGCUGCUUCGCUGACGAGUGGCGGACGGGUGAGUAAUGUCUGGGAAACUGCCUGAUGGAGGGGGAUAACUACUGGAAACGGUAGCUAAUACCGCAUAACGUCGCAAGACCAAAGAGGGGGACCUUAGGGCCUCUUGCCAUCGGAUGUGCCCAGAUGGGAUUAGCUAGUAGGUGGGGUAACGGCUCGCCUAGGCGACGAUCCCUAGCUGGUCUGAGAGGAUGACCAGCCACACUGGAACUGAGACACGGUCCAGACUCCUACGGGAGGCAGCAGUGGGGAAUAUUGCACAAUGGGCGCAAGCCUGAUGCAGCCAUGCCGCGUGUAUGAAGAAGGCCUUCGGGUUGUAAAGUACUUUCAGCGGGGAGGAAGGGAGUAAAGUUAAUACCUUUGCUCAUUGACGUUACCCGCAGAAGAAGCACCGGCUAACUCCGUG